CAUUGCCUGGCUGUAGGACUGCUGUGAAUGACCUGGAGGAUUGUGGCUUUCCUCCAUAUAAGCAGCCAGUUUGUAACCUGCUGCAUGCAAGAACCAUUAUAGUAAUGCCUGCCUGAGUCUGCAGAGAGCCUAAAGCCUUAGCUCCGAGAGGUGCCAGGUACCCCUUUCAGCACCAAGGAGCAUAAAACCAGAUGUUCACUGAAGAGACGUCGCUCCCCAUAGAAACUAUGAAAACUGUCUCUUACAAGACACAGAUCAAGACAUUUCAAUAGGAAUGACAAUUUACCAAAUUGCUUAAUGCUUCCUCUUUGAAAUUGGCUUAACGCUGAAAUGAAUAAGACUCCUAUAACCACAGACAGAGCCAGUAAUGUAUUUUGGAGAGUUUAUGGCUGUCAGUGAAAUCCAGAGGAUGAUCAUCGCAGCUUACAGGACCGCAUAUACCCAGGACACCUUUGCUUUCGAGGAGCAUUACAGUCAGGGAAGAUUGAUUGAAACAGUGGCAAAAGGUAGACGCGGAGGUGCAUCUCCUCCCCUGUUCUGUCCCUGGCAGGGACCAGCCCCAGGUGCUUCAGAGGAGACUGUAAGACUCCUACAGUAGCAGAGGGAAAACCAUUUGCUCCCUACUUCCUGCUCUCUAAUUGUUGUCUGGAGCUCUGAGGAGCAAUGCUCAUUAUCCCUUUCCACAUGUUUGUUCGCAUUAACCUUGUUAGCUACAUAAAUUGCAAUGGCCCUAGCAUUGGCUGAGAUGCUCUCUGCAGUACAAUAAAGGCACUUUGAAGUCUUGGGUUU